rnacentral:rRNA from 1 species
UACGAAGGGGGCUAGCGUUGUUCGGAAUACUGGGCGUAAAGCGUGCGCAGGCGGUGAUGUAAGACAGUUGUGAAAUCCCCGGGCUCAACCUGGGAACUGCAUCUGUGACUGCAUCGCUGGAGUACGGUAGAGGGGAUGGAAUUCCGCGUGUAGCAGUGAAAUGCGUAGAUAUGCGGAGGAACACCGAUGGCGAAGGCAAUCCCCUGGACCUGUACUGACGCUCAUGCACGAAAGCGUGGGGAGCAACAGG